GGCUAAACCAUGCACCGAAGCUGCGGCAGCGACACUGUGUGUUGUUGGGUAGGGGAGCGUUCUGUAAGCCUGUGAAGGUGUGUCGUGAGGCAUGCUGGAGGUAUCAGAAGUGCGAAUGCUGACAUAAGUAACGAUAAAGCGGGUGAAAAGCCCGCUCGCCGGAAGACCAAGGGUUCCUGUCCAACGUUAAUCGGGGCAGGGUGAGUCGACCCCUAAGGCGAGGCCGAAAGGCGUAGUCGAUGGGAAACGGGUUAAUAUUCCCGUACUUGGUGUUACUGCGAAGGGGGGACGGAGAAGGCUAUGUUGGCCGGGCGACGGUUGUCCCGGUUUAAGCGUGUAGGUGUGUGUUCCAGGUAAAUCCGGUUCACUUUAACACUGAGGCGUGACGACGAGGCACUACGGUGCUGAAGCAACAAAUGCCCUGCUUCCAGGAAAAGCCUCUAAGCAUCAGGUAACAUCAAAUCGUACCCCAAACCGACACAGGUGGUCAGGUAGAGAAUACCAAGGCGCUUGAGAGAACUCGGGUGAAGGAACUAGGCAAAAUGGUGCCGUAACUUCGGGAGAAGGCACGCUGACACGUAGGUGAAGUGAUUUACUCAUGGAGCUGAAGUCAGUCGAAGAUACCAGCUGGCUGCAACUGUUUAUUAAAAACACAGCACUGUGCAAACACGAAAGUGGACGUAUACGGUGUGACGCCUGCCCGGUGCCGGAAGGUUAAUUGAUGGGGUCAGCGCAAGCGAAGCUCCUGAUCGAAGCCCCGGUAAACGGCGGCCGUAACUAUAACGGUCCUAAGGUAGCGAAAUUCCUUGUCGGGUAAGUUCCGACCUGCACGAAUGGCGUAAUGAUGGCCAGGCUGUCUCCACCCGAGACUCAGUGAAAUUGAACUCGCUGUGAAGAUGCAGUGUACCCGCGGCAAGACGGAAAGACCCCGUGAACCUUUACUAUAGCUUGACACUGAACAUUGAGCCUUGAUGUGUAGGAUAGGUGGGAGGCUUUGAAGUGUGGACGCCAGUCUGCAUGGAGCCGACCUUGAAAUACCACCCUUUAAUGUUUGAUGUUCUAACGUGGACCCGUUACCCGGGUUGCGGACAGUGUCUGGUGGGUAGUUUGACUGGGGCGGUCUCCUCCUAAAGAGUAACGGAGGAGCACGAAGGUUGGCUAAUCCUGGUCG
rnacentral:rRNA from 1 species